rnacentral:pre_miRNA from 1 species
AUCACCUGAGCGUCUUGUUAAAAUGCAGAUUCUGAUUCCACAGGUCUGAGGUGGUGCCUGAGAUUCUUCAUUUCUAACAAGUUCCCUGGUGAUGCUGC